GAUGAACGCUGGCGGCGUGCUUAACACAUGCAAGUCGAACGGUGAACGAGGGAGCUUGCUCCCUCCGGAUCAGUGGCGAACGGGUGAGUAACACGUGAGCAAUCUGCCCUGGACUCUGGGAUAAGCGUUGGAAACGACGUCUAAUACCGGAUACGAGACGCGAAGGCAUCUUCAGCGUCUGGCAAGAACUUCGGUCCAGGAUGAGCUCGCGGACUAUCAGGUAGUUGGUGAGGUAAUGGCUCACCAAGCCUACGACGGGUAGCCGACCUGAGAGGGUGAUCGGCCACACUGGGACUGAGACACGGCCCAGACUCCUACGGGAGGCAGCAGUGGGGAAUCUUGCACAAUGGGCGAAAGCCUGAUGCAGCAACGCCGCGUGCGGGAUGAAGGCCUUCGGGUUGUAAAGCUCUUUCGGCAGGAACGAAACGGUGCUCCCUAAUACGGAGUGCUAAUGACGGUACCUGAAGAAGAAGCACCGGCUAACUAC
rnacentral:rRNA from 1 species